rnacentral:lncRNA from 1 species
GAUUUUAAUUAUUAUAUUCUGAAAGAAGAUUUCAUACGGACAACAAAGUUUCUACAAAAAAGUUACCAGAAACCAGUUUACAGUCACGGGAGGAUCACUGUAUUCUAUAUUGGCAACAUAUACUGGUUCACCAUUUGCAAGAGGUGCAGGAUCUCCAGAAUUCACAAAACGAUCAACUUAGACAACUUUAUUAGCUAAAUGUCCCCAACAGAAACAGAAUAUGUCUCUGAAACCUUGCUAGCUCCUCAACUUGGACUCUUAGAAAGACAGCAGGAUAAAUUUCUCAUGAAGUGUUCUCAACACAUUGGACGGAAUUCAUCUCCUUGGCCUGCAAAAAGAAAAAGAAAAAAAGAAAGCCGGUCUCCUGCAGAUGGACGGGGCUCUCUAAAUUGCAUAGUUAACUUAUAAACUAUUGAUUCUACUUGUAAGAAACAAUUAACUUCUUGCUUCUAGAGCAUUUUAGACUCGGACAGGACCAAGCUCUGAGUCGACUUGAAUAGGUAUACUACCAGUUGAAACUUCAAUGCUUGAAAUUUGGCAAUCGAAUUCAGCAUGUCAAGUAAUUUUUGCACAGUUGUUGGUAACUAUGGGUUCGAGGUUUGCCAAACAAAUCAGAAACUUAAUGGGUGUGGUUAUAUCCUAACUUUUCUGGAUCCCAUCUGGAAUCUCAAAUAAUUCCAAGAAAUAAACUACUCUGAUAUAGGGGUGUAAAUCCAGUAAUAUUAAAAUCAACUCUCAGAACAGAAAUACAGGUCAAACAGACUAACUUCAAUGGAUAUCAGUAAAGAUAUUAUAGGAGCUGGUUUUAGAAUAAAGAGGAGUCAUAAUUUAAAUUUAAAAUAAAAGUUAAAGGAAUUAAAUUGUGAUGCUAUAUGUUUGUUUACAGGAAAGCUACAGCCAGGGGAUUCCAGAAACAGUAUAAUAGUACUCUUACAGGCAUAAAAGAUAGUUAACCGCUAAAGCUCAGUACUUUGAAUUUGUAUAUCCUCGACUACACUUCGAUUACUAAUAAGAUAAUAUGAAAUCAUGAAAAGUGAAAGAAUGAAAAACAUAAUUAGAUGCAGUCAAGUAACCUUAAGUCUCAACAUUACCAGUUGAGUAAUAAUAGCGAUCUGGAACUAUCUUCCUAUACCAUGAUUAGCAUCCAAGUGAUGAAGCUGCUGGAAUAUAAAUAACCCAACUUCGAUACCUUUAUUCCUUGUAAACAGCAGGUGCAAGUGGUAGGAACUGAAUGUCUCUGAUGCUUAUAUCACCACAUUGCCAUUACUUUCAACCACUGGUAAACUACCGAAUCCCUCGUAAAAUACAAAAUACAAAAUCCAGGAUUUUCCACUUCAGGUUUCUUCCAUAUCUUAAGGCCACUAAAAAAAAUUAUCAACCUUACAUGAAGUCUGAGUUCUAUAUCAGCUUAAAUUUCUUUAUAAAUAGCAUGAGUAUUAACCACAAAUAUAUAUAUAUUCCUUUCAUACAUGUACAUACCAUUCUUCAAGUCAGUAGAGGGAAAUAGCAGACCGCAUCAAACAUAGUUACUAUGCUUCUC